rnacentral:lncRNA from 1 species
GGAACAGAGUUUGAAAGGCUGGAAAAAGGAAAAGGAGUCUGAUUUGUCCCAGGCUGGACUUCUCUCGAUUUAGGUGUUCCAGACCGUGUUAUUGGAGGUGAAAUCACUGAGGAAAACUUGGCUGACAUCCUUAGAUGUGAUGUCUUUAAUACCUUGCAAACUUUAGCUUAAAACAUUAGAUUUCCACCUCUAAAAAGUAAUUAAUUUGAUAAAUAAGCUAGUUGCCACUAGUUGCCCAAACGGUAAUGUUAUUCACCAUUCUAUUUGGAGACCUCUGUAAAAAGAUGAAAAAGAGUAGAUUUUUACACCAAAAUCCCUUUUAAAUGUAAAUUGUUUAAUAGGACACUACUGUAAUUUCAUUUAAAGGCAAAGUUCUGAUAUACAGUGGAGGAUUUGGAUUCAAGUCAUGUUGUUGUAUGUUGACUAACUGCCUCAGGAGACAGACUUGUGACAAAUUUGGGAGUGGUCUGAUCUCCCCCCUUCUGGGCUCCCUGCAUUUACUGUUUAAGAAUGUGCAUAGGAAGGUAGUACUGCUCUUAUCAGCAAAGCCAUGGAGGAAUAACCAGUAGAAGAGGUUUUAGGGGUAAAGUGCUAAGACUUUCAACUCCAUGAUCCCAAAAGGUGAGGAUUCAACUCCACAGCGGGAAGAAGUCAGGCCUCUGACAAUUCUCCCAGUCUAUGAGCAAGUAGGAGCAAUGUUGCUCAAUAUCUCACGUACUGCAUGGCUGUGGGUAACUUGUGCUGCAUCUCUAGGAGAGCCCUUCUUGCCUGCCCCUCCUUCUCUAUUUUAUGUUUUAGGAAGUACUGUUCUUGGAUUCUCACCUCUAUUCCACAAGCAACUGAAAUGAACGGACCUAUAUAGAAGGCAAAUCUGAAAUAGAGACAUCACCCAUGGCCAGACCCAUUAAUUAUUUGGGUAUAUCUGUUUCUACUGGAGAAUUUGUUGUUUUGUAUGAUGAAACAUCUUGAUUCCCUAUCAGGAAGAAAGACAGAGGAAAGCAGACUAAUGAAGCAUCGAGGAGGACUUCUGAUCAGCUGAAGGGGCAAGAGGAGCAGCUGGCAGUGACCACAUUCAGUGUAGCAGUCCUAUCACCAGAGCUCAUUCCUAGAAUAACAGCCCCACCAGCAAAUAGGUAGCUGUUUUCAUACUAUUAUAGUUUUGCUUAUC